rfam:Camelus ferus unplaced genomic scaffold scaffold265, whole genome shotgun sequence.
GUGGGUAUAGCUCAGUGGCAGGGUGUGUGCUUAGUAUGCACAAGGUCCUGGGUUCAAUCCCCAGUGCCUCCA